rnacentral:rRNA from 1 species
UACGUAGGGUGCAAGCGUUAAUCGGAAUUACUGGGCGUAAAGCGUGCGCAGGCGGUUCUGAAAGUCAGCUGUGAAAGCCCCGGGCUUAACCUGGGAAUUGCGGUUGAAACUACAGGGCUAGAAUCUGGCAGAGGGGGGUGGAAUUCCACGUGUAGCAGUGAAAUGCGUAGAGAUGUGGAGGAACACCGAUGGCGAGGGCAGCCCCCUGGGCUGAGAUUGACGCUCAGGCACGAAAGCGUGGGGAGCAAACAGG